CAGCCAGAUUAUCGUUUAAUGAUGAUAUGACAGGCGUUGUCCAUAUCUAAGUGAUUAUGUGAAUAAAGAAAUGAAAUGAGGUUUAACGCCCUACUGUUCUGCUCCAGAUGGGUUAUGCGGAUCUUUAACUAUCUACAACUAGCGAUGCAUACAGUUCUUAGAAUGUUGAUCAAAUAAUUGUUAUUUGUUUGGGUAUUUUCUCUCUGUUGUGUCUAAGUGCAAUAAUUGAAUUUUUUGUAUGGUAAAACCUGAAUAAAUCGAUGUCGAUUGAUAUCAUUCUGAAAAACUUGGAAGGAUAAAUUGAACGUUUACAGGACUCUAAUCAAAUCAAUACAUCUUGAGUUAUAAAGUUGUACGGUACGCCGCUUCAGUGCAAAAGAAUUAAUCUGAAAUAAGAACUUAAAAAUGCCUAACUGGUCUUGAGAUGUAAGAAUACUUGAGCAGAUGUUUCAUUUUUGUUAAGAUGCCAAUUUACAUGAUCCGGGGUUACUUGUGGCUAAUUUCAAUAUUUCAAAUAGGACAUACAGUUUUAAUUGAGGAGUCGCGAUGGAGGUUGUACAGACACCAAGCUCAGCUAACAACCAACUUUUUUCAACAAACCAAUUCUAGAUUUAAAUUUCAAUGCACUACGGAUUGUUCUAGAUUGUCAGCAUGUAAAAGUUUUAGCUUUGAUGUUGUAUCUAAAAGAUGUCAUUUCUACAAUUUCAUACCACUACUAUCCAACCCAAUGACGGAAACUAAUGAUCUGUUAAAAUAUUACUCAAAACGAAGAGGUAGUUGUCCUCCCACUUAUACCUUCAUACCGACAGACGGACGAUGUAUUUUUGUAUCGAAUACGGCAAAGAAUUUCGAUGAUGCUUUAACGCAAUGCGAGACCGAUGGAGGCACUUUAACAUUUGUAGAAACUGAAGCCGACAGAAACUUUAUAAAAGAUAACUUUGCCUUGGAUAUAUCUUAUCAUUUUGUUGGUGGUACCAACCGGUAUGGACCCAAUAGCAGUAGUAUAUUCUAUUAUUGGUUAAAUGGUACUCCAGUUGGUGGUCUGUGGGCGCCUGGUGAACCCGAUGGUGGAAUAGACAAAUGUAACGCUAUAUCACCGGAACAUGAUUAUUAUAUACGGGAUAUCAUGUGUGCAAAUCUUUAUCGUUUUAUCUGUGAAAUACUUGUGUAACAAGGCAAAGGUUUCUGGCAUCUUGCCAUUUCUGUAUGCCAUUUACAUACUUACAUACUCAAAAUUUAAUUGUAUUUGAAAGCAUAAUAUGCGUAAAGUGGACAAAUAUUGUGGCCAUGGGGGUUCGAAGGCGCUAUCUAGGGUUCUGUUGCUAAAUUAUCAAAGCGCAUAAUAAGCCCACCCUUGUUUGUGGUCGCUGUUACUACUGCAUUUCCUUUUUUCUAUAUCCCUUUAUUUGUCUGCAAUUGUAUUACAUAAUGGCGGCUACGUUAGCACAUGUUGGUGAGUUUCAGGUACAAUGUAAUGCUGGUUUUCUUUCGAACACAUACAUUUUUUAAGUCGAUAGCAUAUUGUAAUCCUUUGUGAAAUAUAUCUUAAAAUGUUACAAUUGUACAGCUGUCUAUUUCUGGAACGCCCAAUUUCACUUAAUGAGACGUAUUUGGAAAUCCAAAAAUAUCAUAUACUAUUAUAUUGUUACCUUUUUUACUUUGUACGAGUGGGUUAUUUGUGAAUAAACUCUCAAACAGUUUUACAAAACGAUCCUGUCCCUUCAGACCAAUGAUGUCGCCCAGGUUCAACUGCGCUAAUUGUCUUUUCAGCUGAGAAUAUGUAGAAUAGCAGACUUUUUUAAAACAAAGGUUACCAGGCAACGAAACAUGCCUACCAGCAGCUGAAUCGUUCGACAAAUUAUACGUUACACAAUGCUUAAAAAAAGAAAAGCUCCAGACCAUAAUUAAAGCACGUAAGAUGUUAAUACGAUUUCGUAAAGAAUCGGUAAUAACUUUGGUAGUUAUUUUUUUUUAAAUAAUCAAUAAGAUUUUUCCAUGCAAUCGAUCAACUCAUAUCAGUUUCAUAUAUAUAUAUGCCUAUAUAGAUUAUUGUAGCCUCUGAAUGGUUAGCGUGCGCGCGCUGUGUCAUAAAGUCUGUCAUUGAGUCGAUUGGCGUGGUUUCGAAUCCCCGGUUGUACGUGACAAGGUGUAUGGUCGCCCGUCCAACCUCGUGGGUUUUCUCCGGGUCCUCAGGUUUCCUCCCACUGCUAAAGACCCCUAUGCGCGGGCGAAUUUUUGAAAUAAAAUUGAACCAUGUGUUGGUCCCGAAAUGACCUAGUUUGUGUCGAGUGGACGCUGAAGAGAAUAUAAUUCUUCCUGUGAAUAAAUUAAUCAACUUCAUGACAUGUAGGGCCAUAGUUCAUGUAUCUAAGGUACUAACACGAUUUCGUAACAAAAGAAAUUGUAAUCGAGAAAUUAAAAGACUUCUACCUUUCAAUAAGGUGGGUAGCGAAUAUACAUUUCAGAAAGAUAGGUUAAUAAUUGCAGCCAAUAAAACGCUAACAAGAUUCCGUGAGCAAGGAGCAUGUCAAAAAUCAAUAGGUAUAUUUAUUUCCAUGCAACAGUCAACCCGAAUCAGUUUCAUAAAUGUAUAUGUAUUUGUUUUACCUCUAUUGUGCUAAAUCUGAGUGUCUGAUCUACGAGUGGGGGUGACAGAAAUUAAUUUGAAAUAGGGUUUUAAAGUCCGACUGUGCUGCACCGACAGGGCUUAUGAAGAAAUGCAGUGAACUAUGAGGGAAAAUUUAUCCGAACAGUUGCGAUAUGACCUACCCUUAUAUCGAAUUCCAACUGUCAAAGGAAUAUUUUACGUGCACGCCAAUGUUUACGCGCGAACUCAGCUUUUCUGUCCCACCCGAACGACUAGACAUCUAUCCUUGUCAGGCCCUCCCUCCUGCACCACUGACAAGGGGAAACAAAGCCGGAAAAUCUCGGCCAACACCGGGGGGCCAACCCAAGAUCUACAGGCUAGCUAGCCAACGUCUUACUCACUGAGCCACCGCAGCUCCGCAGGGAUGACGGAAAUAUAUAUACAGCCACAUUUCAACGUAUGGGUGCCAACCGGAGAGACUUGUAAUAACUUUCUGAAAGCCUCACUAAAAAGUAUGUCAUACUUAUAGAGAUGGCUUAAUUUCUGGGGUAAACAAACCACUUGAACUUUGUAAAUGAUACAACAUUAUGUAUACUAGCCAAUAACAGACCAGCCGUUUAUGAAUCGUCGAUGAUAUUUGUACUAAUUCAAAUGUAAAUGCCAAUCGAUACUGGUUUCAAGUAUCGAUUAUCACCGACCAUCGAUUAUUUUUUAUGGACUUCAUACAAAUGAAGUACAUAUAAUUUCGCGAUAAUCGAUGUCUUAAAACUGUGCCGAUUAUCGAUCUUCAAAACGCUUUACAGACGAUUGUCGGCAAUAUCGAUAUUUUAUGUCUGUCCUAAUUCAAGGCCAUAACCGUAAGAGCGAGAUAUCUCGAUCAUCGAGACAAAUCCUCAAAUUAGAUAUAGUAUAUUUUUGAUUAUUUCUGAGAUUAUUGUACCAUGUAAGGUACUCAAUAGGAAAUAGAUUAUUGAAUCAAUAAAGAAAAAAAAUAGACAUUUCUAGAGUAACAAUGUGUGAUAUUAACUUUCUCACGGCUUAAACUACGCUAAUAUAUACUUAAAAUCAAACUACCAACGAUUGAUAAUCUCCUGGCUUGGAUUCAAUCGGCUUUAAAACAGGCCCAUCAAUUUGGUUUACGGCAAAUACAAAUAAUUAGAUAUAAUUUUCAAUUGGUCAUAUCUUUGUAAAUACUGAAAAGAAUUGGAUCAUCUUUGGACUGAUAUUACUAUUAGAGAUUCAACUUCCACACUAUUGCAACGGAUUAAAUAGCGCUAAUAUCACACAUUGAGUCUUUAAAUAAAUUUGAUUUAGAAGAGAAUCGCUGUAGCAAGUCUUAUAUUUGAACCAGGUAGCUCUGAUAUCAAUAUUAUUUAAGGUCACGAUAAAUAAUUAAGGUCGAUACUUUAGGUACACAUUCACCAAAGUAAGAGAACAUUGAUUUACCAUAUCUGUAAGUGUGUCAGAGUCGAUUUGAAAUCAAUCCAGCAUAGCGUUAUUGACAAGCAACAUCAGGUGAAAAACCAGUGGUUAUUAUUUAAAGGGCAUAUCCCUUUCCUUUCUAGUAAUGAUUUCCAUGACAGCUCUAAAAAUAUAUUUUAGUUUGUUGAAUCAUUAACAACGUAUAAAUAUUGCAGUGUACCCUACGCUUUUUUUUUCAUUUUCGUGACCUAUCAUCUUCCCCAUGUCAAAUAUUUAUCGACAGUAUUUGCAAGAAAUUUUUUACAAAUGAACAUCAGACCACAUUUA